rnacentral:rRNA from 1 species
GCACCAGAGGGGGUGCACGGCUAUCAGAUUGGAGUGGGGUGGUCAGCAGAUCGUACCUGUCGUUUUCCCGUCGAGCGGUCAGCGGCUGAGUAGUUUCGGGGCCAUCUACGUUCAGAGGGCGUAUCCUACUAGAGACAGUACCUAAUUCCUCAUCACCUAGCAUGAGCAAAGUGGGGGCUCUUCCGCCCUCAACCUAUAUGAUGUCCCCACAUGGAAUUAGCUAGUACGUGAGGUAAUCGCUCACCUAGGCGCACAUCUCAAGUUGGUCUGAGAGGACGGCCAGUCACACAUGAUCAGAAAAGCGGUCCACAAUCUGAAUAUAGCCAGCAGGGGUGAAUAUUGCACAAAGGAAGCAAGCGUGAUGCAACCAUGCUGCGUGUGUGAAGAAGCCCUUAUCUUUGAAAUCCACUUUCACACAUGAGAAAGGGUAUCAUCCCUAAGAACCGUUGUUAUCUUGUUACUACAACAGUACUGAGGUCCAUCAGCGCCGCCAUCCAGCUGUCGUAAUACUAACGGUGCAAGGUUGAAUCGGAUUAAGUUGACAUACAGGGCGCGCAGCCGGUCUACCAUGUGAGAUGAGUUAUCAUGGAGCUUAAAUUGAUUCUGAACGGUGAAAGCGACACGCUCGAGUCUUGUAGAAUUCUGUAUGAGUCCUGGUGUAGGAUCGACCGGAGUAGAGAUCUGGAGGAACACCGGUGCCGAAGGCAGCCCCCUGGACUUCGACUGACGCUCAGGUGGGAAAGCGUGGGGAGCAAACGGG